GGGUGGGAGCAAACAGGCUUAGAUACCUGGUAGUCCACCCGUAAACGUGGAACUAGUGUGGGGUCCUUUCACGGAUUCCGUGACGCAGCUAACGCAUUAAGUUCCCCGCUGGGGAGUACGGCCGCAAGGCUAAAACUCAAAGGAAUUGACGGGGACCCGCACAAGCGGCGGAGCAUGCGGAUUAAUUCGAUGCAACGCGAAGAACCUUACCAAGGCUUGACAUACACGAGAACGGGCCAGAAAUGGUCAACUCUUUGGACACUCGUGAACAGGUGGUGCAUGGUUGUCGUCAGCUCGUGUCGUGAGAUGUUGGGUUAAGUCCCGCAACGAGCGCAACCCUCGUUCUAUGUUGCCAGCACGUUAUGGUGGGAACUCAUGGGAUACUGCCGGGGUCAACUCGGAGGAAGGUGGGGAUGACGUCAAAUCAUCAUGCCCCUUAUGUCUUGGGCUUCACGCAUGCUACAAUGGCCGGUACAAAGGGCUGCAAUACCGUGAGGUGGAGCGAAUCCCAAAAAGCCGGUCCCAGUUCGGAUUGAGGUCUGCAACUCGACCUCAUGAAGUCGGAGUCGCUAGUAAUCGCAGAUCAGCAACGCUGCGGUGAAUACGUUCCCGGGUCUUGUACACACCGCCCGUCAAGUCAUGAAAGUCGGUAACACCUGAAGCCGGUGGCCUAACCCUUGUGGAGGGAGCCGUCGAAGGUGGGAUCGGUAAAUAGGACUAAGUCGUAACAAGGUAGCCGACUGAAAG
rnacentral:rRNA from 1 species